CCCUCUUUGAUUUCGAUUGAAAUGAAUGUGUAUAGUAAAUUAGGUGUUUUUUUCAUUGAUAAAACCCGAAAGGCUCGAUUCCAAUAGAAAAUUAGGGUUUAGUUAUGGGAAAUAGUUGAGAGAAAGAGGAAGGAAAAACAUUGAAAUGAUUUUUCAUUAACUUAAUGAUUUUGACUUUUGUAGGGAUUAAAAAUAAAGUUUAGAUAGCUAAUGAUAUGCUGGCACCAUUUGGUCAGCAGAUUCUUGUUGAGUAGUAUACAUCACGAGCUCCAUGAUUCUGGGGAAGAGGUAGCUGGAAAUGAGGUGGGCAAAGAAAAAAAAACCUAUUUGGUAGCGAAACUGAAUCAACUUUUGUCACCUAACGGAUGAGGGCAUUCAGUUUGUCAAUACUAAAAGCAGAAAGAUUUAUAAUUUGCAGAGGGAGAACUUUGUUCAACAUUAAUUAAAUUAAAUCCAUUUAUAAUACAAGUUGUUUCUGUUAGUCAUCAACGAAUGCAUUAUGCAUGGAUGAUUUUUAGUCGUAACAUGCGUAAAUAUGAAAACCUUAGUACAUACCUACGUUACGUAAUCUCGAGAGGCUACUUAUACGUAUGCCUAGAGGAAGAAGGUUUUGUCUGACAUUUUCAAUUUGUUUUGGUGUUUCUUAGAAUUUGCUUGUAGGUUUUGGAGAUAUGGAAAGUGAGGAUGAGGAUGAGGAUGAGCAAAAGAGAAUAAAUUGUACUGGUACGGAUGGAAUUAGAUUUGGAUGAUUGAAAGGUUAAGAUUUUUGAGCUGAUCACAAUGAAUGGUGUGGGUGAUGUGGAGAGCAGAAUCGAACACAGUCAAAUCUCAUCUAGUGGAGCCAUUCAUGAAUUCUUAUCAUCAUAAGAGUAUUGGAAUUUGGAAUCUAAAUGCAAGGAAUGGAUUCUCUCCCAAAAAUGUGCAAACCAACAAACCACAUAUACUUUCUUCUCUUCAAUUGGUUGUUCCAAUUUAUUUCAAGAUACACACAAAUAUAGCAUUAUAACUUUUUUUAUUUCUUCUUAGUAAUUUAUAAUCCUCCCUUUUGGAGCAAAAAGAGGAAGGGGCUAUGGCUUUUUCUUUGUUUUGAAGAUGGGUAUGGAUAUAUA
rnacentral:lncRNA from 1 species